CCUACGGGGGGUAGCAGUGGGGAAUAUUGGGCAAUGGGCGCAAGCCUGACCCAGCAACGCCGCGUGAAGGAAGAAGGCUUUCGGGUUGUAAACUUCUUUUAAGGGGGAAGAGCAGAAGACGGUACCCCUUGAAUAAGCCACGGCUAACUACGUGCCAGCAGCCGCGGUAAUAAGUAGGUGGCAAGCGAUGUACGGAUUUACUGGGUGUAAAGGGCGUGCAGCCGGAGAGACAAGUCAGAUGUGAAAUCCACGGGCUCAACCCGUGAACUGCAUUUGAAACUUUUUCCCUUGAGUGUCGGAGAGGUAAUCGGAAUUCCUUGUGUAGCGGUGAAAUGCGUAGAUAUAAGGAAGAACACCAGUGGCGAAGGCGGAUUACUGGACGAUAACUGACGGUGAGGCGCGAAAGCGUGGGGAGCAAACAGGAUUAGAUACCCCAGUAGUC
rnacentral:rRNA from 1 species